rnacentral:rRNA from 1 species
UACGAAGGGGACUAGCGUUGUUCGGAAUUACUGGGCGUAAAGCGCACGUAGGCGGAUUUAUAAGUCAGGGGUGAAAUCCCGGGGCUCAACCUCGGAACUGCCUUUGAUACUGUAGAUCUCGAGUCCGAUAGAGGUGGGUGGAAUUCCUAGUGUAGAGGUGAAAUUCGUAGAUAUUAGGAAGAACACCAGCGGCGAAGGCGGCAUCCUGGACUGGUCCUGACACUCAGGAGCGAAAGCGCGGGGAGCGAUCCGG